AACGAACGCUGGCGGCAUGCCUAACACAUGCAAGUCGAACGAUCCCCUCGGGGAUAGUGGCGCACGGGUGCGUAACGCGUGGGAAUCUGCCCUUGGGUUCGGAAUAACAGUUAGAAAUGACUGCUAAUACCGGAUGAAGUCUUCGGACCAAAGAUUUAUCGCCCAGGGAUGAGCCCGCGUAGGAUUAGGUAGUUGGUGAGGUAAAGGCUCACCAAGCCGACGAUCCUUAGCUGGUCUGAGAGGAUGAUCAGCCACACUGGGACUGAGACACGGCCCAGACUCCUACGGGAGGCAGCAGUGGGGAAUAUUGGACAAUGGGCGCAAGCCUGAUCCAGCAAUGCCGCGUGAGUGAUGAAGGCCUUCGGGUCGUAAAGCUCUUUUACCCGGGAUGAUAAUGACAGUACCGGGAGAAUAAGCUCCGGCUAACUCCGUGCCAGCAGCCGCAGUAAAAC
rnacentral:rRNA from 1 species